rnacentral:rRNA from 1 species
CACACGACUCUCGGCAACGGAUAUCUCGGCUCUCGCAUCGAUGAAGAACGUAGCGAAAUGCGAUACCUGGUGUGAAUUGCAGAAUCCCGCGAACCAUCGAGUCUUUGAACGCAAGUUGCGCCCGAUGCCUUUCGGCUGAGGGCACGCCUGCCUGGGCGUCACGC